ensembl:snRNA U6 U6 spliceosomal RNA
GUGCUUGCUCUGGCAGCACAUACACUAAAAUCAGAACGACACAGAGAACAUCAGCAUGGCCUCUGCGCAAGGAUGACAGGCAAAUUCGCAAAACAUUUCAUAUUUUU